CGGACGGGUGAGUAAUGUCUGGGAAACUGCCUGAUGGAGGGGGAUAACUACUGGAAACGGUAGCUAAUACCGCAUAACGUCGCAAGACCAAAAAGGGGGACCUUCGGGCCUCUUGCCAUCGGAUGUGCCCAGAUGGGAUUAGCUAGUAGGUGGGGUAACGGCUCACCUAGGCGACGAUCCCUAGCUGGUCUGAGAGGAUGACCAGCCACACUGGAACUGAGACACGGUCCAG
rnacentral:rRNA from 1 species